AUUGAACGCUGGCGGCAGGCCUAACACAUGCAAGUCGAGCGAGCGGCGGACGGGGGAGUAAUGUCCGGGAAACUGCCUGAUGGAGGGGGAUAACUACUGGAAACGGUAGCUAAUACCGCAUACCAUUAGAUGUGCCCAGAUGGGAUUUGCUGGUAGGUGGGGUAACGGCUCACCUAGGCGACGAUCCCUAGCUGGUCUGAGAGGAUGACCAGCCACCCUGGAACGGAGACAAGGUCCAGCCUCCUACGGGAGGCAGCAGUGGGGAAUAUUGCACAAUGGGCGCAAGCCUGGUGCAGCCAGGCCGAGUGUGUGAAGAGGGCCUGCGGGUUGUAAAGCACUUUCAGCGGGAAGGCGUUACCCGCAGAAGAAGCACCGGCUAACUCCGUGCCAGCCGCCGCGGUAAUAC
rnacentral:rRNA from 1 species